GAUGAAGAACGCAGUGAAAUGCGAUAAGUAGUGUGAAUUGCAGAAUUCAGUGAAUCAUCGAAUCUUUGAACGCACAUUGCGCCCCUUGGUAUUCCGAGGGGCAUGCCUGUUCGAGCGUCAUUAUAACCCUCAAGCUCAGCUUGGUGUUGGGGCCUGCUGCACUGGCAGCCCUUAAAAUCAGUGGCGGCGCCAUCUGGCUCUAAGCGUAGUAAUUCUUCUCGCUAUGGAGUCCUGGUGGAUGCUUGCCAUCAACCCCCAAUUUUUCUAUGGUUGACCUCGGAUCAGGUAGGGAUACCCGCUGAACUUAAGCAUAUCAAUAAGCGGAGGA
rnacentral:misc_RNA from 1 species